rnacentral:tRNA from 2 species
UCCCUGGAGGAAUAGUGGUUAGGCCACAGCGCUCUCACAGCUGCGGCCCGGGUUCGAUUCCCGGCCAGAGAA